rnacentral:rRNA from 1 species
GAUGAACGCUGGCGGCGUGCCUAAUACAUGCAAGUCGAGCGAACAGACGAGGAGCUGGCUCCUCUGACGUUAGCGGCGGACGGGUGAGUAACACGUGGAUAACCUACCUAUAAGACUGGGAUAACUUCGGGAAACCGGAGCUAACACCGGAAAAUAUAUUGAACCGCAUGGUUCAAUAGUGAAAGACGAUUUUGCUGUCACUAAUAGAUGGAUCCGUGCCUCAUUAGCUAGUUGGUAAGGUAACGGCUUACCAAGGCAACGAUGCGUAGCCGACCUGAGAGGGUGAUCGGCCACCCUGGAACUGGGCACCGGCCCAGACUCCUCCGGAGGGCAGCAGUGGGGAAUCUUCCGCAAUGGGCGAAAGCCGGACGGAGCAACGCCGCGUGGGUGAUGAAGGUCUUCGGAUCGUAAAACUCUGUUAUUAGGGAAGACCAAAUGUGUAAGUAACUAUGCACGUCUUGACGGUACCUAAUCAGAAAGCCACGGCUAACUACGUG